CCUUGUGCUUUUAGAGCGGCCGAUGCCUGAUUAGCUAGUUGGUGAGGUAAAGGCUUACCAAGGCGACGAUCAGUAGCUGGUCUGAGAGGACGACCAGCCACACUGGGACUGAGACACGGCCCAGACUCCUACGGGAGGCAGUAGUGGGGAAUUUUGGACAAUGGGCGCAAGCCUGAUCCAGCCAUGCCGCGUGAGUGAAGAAGGCCUUCGGGUUGUAAAGCUCUUUCGGUCGGGAAGAAAUAAUUAUGGCUAAUAUCCAUAAUGAAUGACGGUACCGACACAAGAAGCACCGGCUAACUACGUGCCAGCAGCCGCGGUAAUACGUAGGGUGCGAGCGUUAAUCGGAAUUACUGGGCGUAAAGCGUGCGCAGGCGGUUUUGUAAGUCAGAUGUGAAAGCCCUGGGCUUAACCUAGGAAUUGCGUUUGAAACUACAAGGCUAGA
rnacentral:rRNA from 1 species